rnacentral:rRNA from 1 species
UACGUAGGGACCGAGCGUUGUCCGGAAUCAUUGGGCGUAAAGAGCGUGUAGGCGGUUCGGUAAGUCCGCUGUAAAAGUCCAGGGCUCAACCCUGGAAAGCCGGUGGAAACUGUCGAACUAGAGUCCGGAAGAGGCGAGUGGAAUUCCUGGUGUAGCGGUGAAAUGCGCAGAUAUCAGGAGGAACACCAAUGGCGAAGGCAGCUCGCUGGGACGGUACUGACGCUGAGACGCGAAAGCGUGGGGAGCAAACAGG